rnacentral:rRNA from 1 species
UAGUCCACGCCGUAAACGAUGUGUGCUAGUUGUCGGGUCUUUAAGAUUCGGUGACGCCGCUAACGCAUUAAGCACACCGCCUGGGGAGUACGGUCGCAAGAUUAAAACUCAAAGGAAUUGACGGGGACCCGCACAAGCGGUGGAGCAUGUUCUUUAAUUCGAAGCAACGCGCAGAACCUUACCAACCCUUGACAUCCCUAUCGCGGUUACCAGAGAUGGUUUCCUUCAGCUCGGCUGGAUAGGUGACAGGUGCUGCAUGGCUGUCGUCAGCUCGUGUCGUGAGAUGUUCGGUUAAGUCCGGCAACGAGCGCAACCCACGUCCUUAGUUGCCAGCAGUUCGGCUGGGCACUCUAGGGAAACUGCCGGUGAUAAGCCGGAGGAAGGUGUGGAUGACGUCAAGUCCUCAUGGCCCUUACGGGGUUGGGGCUACACACGUGCUACAAUGGGCACCUACAGUGAGUUAAUCUCCAAAAGGUGUCUCAGUUCGGGAUUGGGGGUCUGGCAACUCGACCCC